GACGAACGCUGGCGGCGUGCUUAACACAUGCAAGUCGAGCGGUAAGGCCCUUUCGGGGGUACACGAGCGGCGAACGGGUGAGUAACACGUGGGUGACCUGCCCUUAGCUCUGGGAUAAGCCUGGGAAACUGGGUCUAAUACCGGAUAUGACUCCAUGACGCAUGCUGUGGGGUGGAAAGCCUUGUGCGGCUAGGGAUGGGCCCGCGGCCUAUCGGCUUGUUGGUGGGGUGAUGGCCUACCAAGGCGACGACGGGUAGCCGGCCUGAGAGGGCGACCGGCCACACUGGGACUGAGACACGGCCCAGACUCCUACGGGAGGCAGCAGUGGGGAAUCUUGCGCAAUGGGCGAAAGCCUGACGCAGCGACGCCGCGUGAGGGAUGACGGCCUCGG
rnacentral:rRNA from 1 species